CGUGCUUAACACAGCCAAUCGAACGGAAAGGCCUGCAGCUUGCUGCGGGUACUCGAGUGGCGAACGGGUGAGUAACACGUGGGUGAUCUGCCUUGCACUUCGGGAUAAGCUUGGGAAACUGGGUCUAAUACCGGAUAGGACAGCUGUUUAGUGUCAGUUGUGGAAAGUUUUUUCGGUGCAAGAUGAGCUCGCGGCCUAUCAGCUUGUUGGUGGGGUAAUGGCCUACCAAGGCGUCGACGGGUAGCCGGCCUGAGAGGGUGUACGGCCACAUUGGGACUGAGAUACGGCCCAGACUCCUACGGGAGGCAGCAGGGGGGAAUAUUGCACAAUGGGCGGAAGCCUGAUGCAGCGACGCCGCGUGGGGGAUGAAGGCCUUCGGGUUGUAAACUCCUUUCGACAGGGACGAAGCGUAAGUGACGGUACCUGUAUAAGAAGCACCGGCUAACUACGUGCCAGCAGCCGCGGUAAUACGUAGGGUGCGAGCGUUGUCCGGAAUUACUGGGCGUAAAGAGCUCGUAGGUGGUUUGUCGCGUCGUCUGUGAAAUUCCGGGGCUUAACUCCGGGCGUGCAGGCGAUACGGGCUGACUUGAGUGCUGUAGGGGAGACUGGAAUUCCUGGUGUAGCGGUGAAAUGCGCAGAUAUCAGGAGGAACACCGAUGGCGAAGGCAGGUCUCUGGGCAGUAACUGACGCUGAGGAGCGAAAGCAUGGGUAGCGAACAGGAUUAGAUACCCUGGUAGUCCAUGCCGUAAACGGUGGGCGCUAGGUGUAGGGGGCUUCCACGUCUUCUGUGCCGUAGCUAACGCAUUAAGCGCCCCGCCUGGGGAGUACGC
rnacentral:rRNA from 1 species